UACGUAGGGGGGCAAGCGUUGUCCGGAUUUACUGGGCGUAAAGCGCGUGUAGGCGGGAACGAAAGUCCGGUGUGAAAGCCCCCCGGCUCAACUGGGGAGGGUCAUUCGAUACUGAUCGACUGGAAGGCAGGAGAGGGAAGCGGAAUUCCCCGGUGUAGUGGUGAAAUGCGUAGAUAUCGGGAGGAACACCAGUGGCGAAGGCGGCUUCCUGGCCUGUUCUUGACGCUGAGGCGCGAAAGCUAGGGGGAGCAAACGGG
rnacentral:rRNA from 1 species